AACCUUCGGGUUAGUGGCGGACGGGUGAGUAACGCGUGGGAAUCUGCCCUCAGGAGGGGGAUAACGGUUGGAAACGGCCGCUAAUACCCCAUAUGCCGAGAGGUGAAAUGAAUUUCGCCUGAGGAUGAGCCCGCGUCUGAUUAGCUAGUUGGUGAGGUAAGAGCUCACCAAGGCAUCGAUCAGUAGCUGGUCUGAGAGGAUGAUCAGCCACACUGGGACUGAGACACGGCCCAGACUCCUACGGGAGGCAGCAGUGGGGAAUUUUCCGCAAUGGGCGAAAGCCUGACGGAGCAACGCCGCGUGAGGGAUGAAGGCCUCUGGGCUGUAAACCUCUUUUAUCAAGGAAGAAGAUCUGACGGUACUUGAUGAAUAAGCCACGGCUAAUUCCGUGCCAGCAGCCGCGGUAAUACGGGAGUGGCAAGCGUUAUCCGGAAUUAUUGGGCGUAAAGCGUCCGCAGGCGGCCCUACAAGUCUGCUGUUAAAAAGUGGAGCUUAACUCCAUCAUGGCAGUGGAAACUGUUGGGCUUGAGUGUGGUAGGGGCAGAGGGAAUUCCCGGUGUAGCGGUGAAAUGCGUAGAUAUCGGGAAGAACACCAGUGGCGAAGGCGCUCUGCUGGGCCAUCACUGACGCUCAUGGACGAAAGCCAGGGGAGCGAAAGGGAUUAGAUACCCCUGUAGUCCUGGCCGUAAACGAUGAACACUAGGUGUCGGGGGAAUCGACCCCUCCGGUGUCGUAGCCAACGCGUUAAGUGUUCCGCCUGGGGAGUACGCACGCAAGUGUGAAACUCAAAGGAAUUGACGGGGGCCCGCACAAGCGGUGGAGUAUGUGGUUUAAUUCGAUGCAACGCGAAGAACCUUACCAGGGUUUGACAUCCUGCGAAUCUCUUGGAAACUUGAGAGUGCCUUCGGGAGCGCAGUGACAGGUGGUGCAUGGCUGUCGUCAGCUCGUGUCGUGAGAUGUUGGGUUAAGUCCCGCAACGAGCGCAACCCACGUCUUUAGUUGCCAGCAUUUAGUUGGGCACUCUAGAGAGACCGCCGGUGAUAAACCGGAGGAAGGUGUGGAUGACGUCAAGUCAUCAUGCCCCUUACAUCCUGGGCUACACACGUACUACAAUGCUACGGACAAAGGGCAGCAAGUUCGCGAGGACAAGCAAAUCCCAUAAACCGUGGCUCAGUUCAGAUCGUAGGCUGCAACUCGCCUACGUGAAGGAGGAAUCGCUAGUAAUCGCAGGUCAGCAUACUGCGGUGAAUACGUUCCCGGGCCUUGUACACACCGCCCAUCACACCAUGGAAGUUGGCCACGCCCGAAGCCGUUACUCCAACCCUUGUGGAGGAGGAC
rnacentral:rRNA from 1 species